UAUCCCAUCAGAGCCUCACACCAACUCGGAGGGUAAGCGCGAUGGUCGUCGUGCCUCCCAUUCCACAGAUGGAGAAAUCGAGGCUCAGAAGGGAGGAGCUCAUGGUAGAGAAACCCGGGUUUCCUAGCUCUCACAGCCUCCGUCUCUGAAGGGACACUCCUAUGUAGCUUUUCCACGAAUGUCUCAAUGAUCCGAGAUGCAGGCCCGAUGGAAAUUACGAUCUCACUUUCCCUGGGUGAUGCAUUUCGGGGCAGGAAGAGACCCGGUGGCCAACCUUCUUAUUUCACAGAUGAGAAAAUCAAAAGUCAGAGAGAGGGACUUGCCCCAAAUCACAGUUAACGUGCGCCAGCCUAUUGGCUGGGAGCGAAAGUUGCUUGGAGACGUGUGUCCAGAGCUGCAACAGACAGCAGGAUAAAGAAAUUGAGAUUCAGAGGAAUGAAGUAAAUUGUUCAGGUUCACAGACCUGGAAGUGAGGGGCUGGAGCUGGAAUCCGGGUCAUCUGCCUCUAAGAACCUUGCUCUUUCAACGAUGCUACUGUCAGAGAUACAACCAGACCCACCCAAACCUCAGAGAGUGGCAUGAUAACUCAGAGACGGCGUGCUACUCUCCCCCUCACUCAGCAGCAUGCGUUGCACAAACCCUCUUUAAAAGCAGUAAGGGAGACCCUGAUUGCAAGUGCCUGCAAUGAGGGCUGCAGAACCCACCAUGUGGGCCGUAAUUAAUAGAGAUGCCAACUGCCAACUAACCAGAAAAACUCCAGCAUCGUCAAUCUGUCCCCUGGCUUCUCACAAGAACUGAUAGAUGAGGAAUUCAGCUCAAAUAUUUAACAAUCAAUAAUUCAAAUGCCUAUCCAACCAUUGCAAGUUGGCAUGUUUAUAAAUAUGAGGGCUACACUCGCUUGCAUUUUACAUGAAACUUAGAGCUGAAUGAAACGCCCCAUAUUUUAUGGGCAAGAAUCUGGAGGAGGAGAUGGAGAUAUCCUUCCGGUCUUGGCCCAACUUGAAUCUACAAAACUUCCAGCUUCCAUCACGCACCAUCGUUCACACCCUCACAUUGCAGGUGAGCAAAUCAACCAGAGAACGUGCUGGAAGCUCAGUUGUGCGGCUGGAGUCAGAGCCUGGUCUGGAGUCAGAGCCUGGUCUCCUCUCCGUCAGCAGCUCCGGGGUGGAACCCAAUGCACAGCCGACGGACAAGGAAGGAUUCACAUUGAGCUUCCGCCAUCUCUCUGUCACCAGAAUGGGUCCCCUCCCAGCCUGUAAUUCAACUCCCUCCUACUUCCCGUCUUCCCAAGAGACACCCAGGAAUGGGGUCUGACUCCGGGAAGACGUUCUGGCCGGGUGGCAGGGGGCUGUGAGCACUGCGUCC
rnacentral:lncRNA from 1 species